UNGUCCUNNCCUUACUGUUGGNUGUUGNUAGGUAUAUACAUGCAAGUAUCCGCGCGCCAGUGUAGACGCCCUGGGCACCCUAACCUCUAGGUCGAUAGGAGCAGGCAUCAGGCACACCCAUGUCGUAGCCCAAGACGCCUUGCAAUUGCCACGCCCCCACGGGUUAUCAGCAGUAGUUGACAUUAAGCAAUGAGUGUAAACUUGACUUAGCCAUAGCAAUUUAGGGGCGGUCAAUCCUGUGCCAGCCACCGCGGUCAUACAGGAGACCCAAAUCAACUUUAUAACGGCGUAAAGAGUGGUCACAUGCUAUCCGAAGUAACUAAGAUUAAAAGGUAACUGAGCUGUCGUAAGCCCAAGAUGCCCAUAAGGCCUCCUACAAAGAAGAUCUUAGACCAACGAUUUAUUGAACUCCACGAAAGCCAGGGCCCAAACUGGGAUUAGAUACCCCACUAUGCCUGGCCCUAAAUCUUGAUGCUCGAUCUUACCGGAGCAUCCGCCCGAGAACUACGAGCACUAACGCUUAAAACUCUAAGGACUUG
rnacentral:rRNA from 1 species